UGCCUUUAUCUGGGGGAUAGCCUUUCGAAAGGAAGAUUAAUACCCCAUAAUAUACUGGAUGGCAUCAUUCGGUAUUGAAAACUCCGGUGGAUAGAGAUGGGCACGCGCAAGAUUAGAUAGUUGGUGAGGUAACGGCUCACCAAGUCUGCGAUCUUUAGGGGGCCUGAGAGGGUGAUCCCCCACACUGGUACUGAGACACGGACCAGACUCCUACGGGAGGCAGCAGUGAGGAAUAUUGGACAAUGGGUGAGAGCCUGAUCCAGCCAUCCCGCGUGAAGGACGACGGCCCUAUGGGUUGUAAACUUCUUUUGUAUAGGGAUAAACCUACUCUCGUGAGAGUAGCUGAAGGUACUAUACGAAUAAGCACCGGCUAACUCCGUGCCAGCAGCCGCGGUAAUACGGAGGGUGCAAGCGUUAUCCGGAUUUAUUGGGUUUAAAGGGUCCGUAGGCGGAUUUGUAAGUCAGUGGUGAAAUCUCACAGCUUAACUGUGAAACUGCCAUUGAUACUGCAAGUCUUGAGUGUUGUUGAAGUAGCUGGAAUAAGUAGUGUAGCGGUGAAAUGCAUAGAUAUUACUUAGAACACCAAUUGCGAAGGCAGGUUACUAAGCAACAACUGACGCUGAUGGACGAAAGCGUGGGGAGCGAACAGGAUUAGAUACCCUGGUAGUCCACGCCGUAAACGAUGCUAACUCGUUUUUGGGCUUUCGGGUUCAGAGACUAAGCGAAAGUGAUAAGUUAGCCACCUGGGGAGUACGAACGCAAGUUUGAAACUCAAAGGAAUUGACGGGGGCCCGCACAAGCGGUGGAUUAUGUGGUUUAAUUCGAUGAUACGCGAGGAACCUUACCAAGGCUUAAAUGGGAAAUGACAGGUUUAGAAAUAGACUUUUCUUCGGACAUUUUUCAAGGUGCUGCAUGGUUGUCGUCAGCUCGUGCCGUGAGGUGUUAGGUUAAGUCCUGCAACGAGCGCAACCCCUGUCACUAGUUGCCAUCAUUAAGUUGGGGACUCUAGUGAGACUGCCUACGCAAGUAGAGAGGAAGGUGGGGAUGACGUCAAAUCAUCACGGCCCUUACGCCUUGGGCCACACACGUAAUACAAUGGCCGGUACAGAGGGCAGCUACACAGCGAUGUGAUGCAAAUCUCGAAAGCCGGUCUCAGUUCGGAUUGGAGUCUGCAACUCGACUCUAUGAAGCUGGAAUCGCUAGUAAUCGCGCAUCAGCCAUGGCGCGGUGAAUACGUUCCCGG
rnacentral:rRNA from 1 species